rnacentral:rRNA from 1 species
UCAGCGGCGGACGGGUGAGUAACACGUGGGCAACCUGCCUGUAAGACUGGGAUAACUUCGGGAAACCGGAGCUAAUACCGGAUAAUCCUUUUCCUCUCAUGAGGAAAAGCUGAAAGACGGUUUCGGCUGUCACUUACAGAUGGGCCCGCGGCGCAUUAGCUAGUUGGUGAGGUAACGGCUCACCAAGGCGACGAUGCGUAGCCGACCUGAGAGGGUGAUCGGCCACACUGGGACUGAGACACGGCCCAGACUCCUACGGGAGGCAGCAGUAGGGAAUCUUCCGCAAUGGACGAAAGUCUGACGGAGCAACGCCGCGUGAACGAUGAAGGCCUUCGGGUCGUAAAGUUCUGUUGUCAGGGAAGAACAAGUACCGGAGUAACUGCCGGUACCUUGACGGUACCUGACCAGAAAGCCACGGCUAACUACGUGCCAGCAGCCGCGGUAAUACGUAGGUGGCAAGCGUUGUCCGGAAUUAUUGGGCGUAAAGCGCGCGCAGGCGGUUCCUUAAGUCUGAUGUGAAAGCCCCCGGCUCAACCGGGGAGGGUCAUUGGAAACUGGGGAACUUGAGUGCAGAAGAGGAGAGCGGAAUUCCACGUGUAGCGGUGAAAUGCGUAGAGAUGUGGAGGAACACCAGUGGCGAAGGCGGCUCUCUGGUCUGUAACUGACGCUGAGGCGCGAAAGCGUGGGGAGCGAACAGGAUUAGAUACCCUGGUAGUCCACGCCGUAAACGAUGAGUGCUAAGUGUUAGAGGGUUUCCGCCCUUUAGUGCUGCAGCAAACGCAUUAAGCACUCCGCCUGGGGAGUACGGCCGCAAGGCUGAAACUCAAAGGAAUUGACGGGGGCCCGCACAAGCGGUGGAGCAUGUGGUUUAAUUCGAAGCAACGCGAAGAACCUUACCAGGUCUUGACAUCCUCUGACAACCCUAGAGAUAGGGCGUUCCCCUUCGGGGGACAGAGUGACAGGUGGUGCAUGGUUGUCGUCAGCUCGUGUCGUGAGAUGUUGGGUUAAGUCCCGCAACGAGCGCAACCCUUGAUCUUAGUUGCCAGCAUUAAGUUGGGCACUCUAAGGUGACUGCCGGUGACAAACCGGAGGAAGGUGGGGAUGACGUCAAAUCAUCAUGCCCCUUAUGACCUGGGCUACACACGUGCUACAAUGGAUGGAACAAAGGGCAGCGAAGCCGCGAGGUGAAGCCAAUCCCAUAAAACCAUUCUCAGUUCGGAUUGCAGGCUGCAACUCGCCUGCAUGAAGCCGGAAUCGCUAGUAAUCGCGGAUCAGCAUGCCGCGGUGAAUACGUUCCCGGGCCUUGUACACACCGCCCGUCACACCACGAGAGUUUUAACACCCGAAGUCGGUGG